rnacentral:misc_RNA from 1 species
UAGGUUGCCUCCACCACUGUUGUCCAAAGAAGAUUGGCGUUUUUCACAGAGGUUGCAAGGAGGGAGCUCUGCUAUUGGUGAUAGGAGGAAGGUAAACAAGAAUGAUAAUGGUAAUGGUGGGAGGUCACCUUUUCCUAUGCCUCCCGGAUUUAACUCGAAAAAAGCAGAGAGCGAGAAUGAGACGGAUAAAUUGCAGGGUUCAGUGGAAUGGGGUGGUGAUG